CCUACGGGAGACAGCAGUGGGGAAUAUUGGGCAAUGGGCGCAAGCCUGACCCAGCAACGCCGCGUGAAGGAAGAAGGCUUUCGGUUUGUAAACCUCUUUUAUUGAGGACGAAACAAAUGACGGUACUCAAUGAAUAAGCCACGGCUAACUACGUGCCAGCAGACGUGGUAAUACGGAGGUGGCAAGCGUUAUCCGGAUUUACUGGGUGUAAAGGUCGUGUAGGCGGGACUGCAAGUCAGUUUUGAAACCCAUUGGCUCAACCCAUGGACUGCAUUUGAAAUUGUAGUUCUUGAGUGAUUGAGAGGCAAGCGGAAUUCCGUGUGUAGCGGUGAAAUGCGUAGAUAUACGGAGGAACACCAGUGGCGAAGGCGGCCUGCUGGACAUUAACUGACGCUGAGGCUCGAAAGCGUGGGGAGCAAACAGGAUUAGAUACCCCAGUAGUC
rnacentral:rRNA from 1 species